rnacentral:rRNA from 1 species
CAGGCUUAACACAUGCAAGUCGAGGGGCAGCAUGGUCUUAGCUCGCUAAGGCCGAUGGCGACCGGCGCACGGGUGAGUAACACGUAUCCAACCUGCCGUCUACUCUUGGACAGCCUUCUGAAAGGAAGAUUAAUACAAGAUGGCAUCAUGAGUCCGCAUGUUCACAUGAUUAAAGGUAUUCCGGUAGACGAUGGGGAUGCGUUCCAUUAGAUAGUAGGCGGGGUAACGGCCCACCUAGUCUUCGAUGGAUAGGGGUUCUGAGAGGAAGGUCCCCCACAUUGGAACUGAGACACGGUCCAAACUCCUACGGGAGGCAGCAGUGAGGAAUAUUGGUCAAUGGGCGAGAGCCUGAACCAGCCAAGUAGCGUGAAGGAUGACUGCCCUAUGGGUUGUAAACUUCUUUUAUAAAGGAAUAAAGUCGGGUAUGGAUACCCGUUUGCAUGUACUUUAUGAAUAAGGAUCGGCUAACUCCGUGCCAGCAGCCGCGGUAAUACGGAGGAUCCGAGCGUUAUCCGGAUUUAUUGGGUUUAAAGGGAGCGUAGAUGGAUGUUUAAGUCAGUUGUGAAAGUUUGCGGCUCAACCGUAAAAUUGCAGUUGAUACUGGAUAUCUUGAGUGCAGUUGAGGCAGGCGGAAUUCGUGGUGUAGCGGUGAAAUGCUUAGAUAUCACGAAGAACUCCGAUUGCGAAGGCAGCCUGCUAAGCUGCAACUGACAUUGAGGCUCGAAAGUGUGGGUAUCAAACAGGAUUAGAUACCCUGGUAGUCCACACGGUAAACGAUGAAUACUCGCUGUUUGCGAUAUACUGCAAGCGGCCAAGCGAAAGCGUUAAGUAUUCCACCUGGGGAGUACGCCGGCAACGGUGAAACUCAAAGGAAUUGACGGGGGCCCGCACAAGCGGAGGAACAUGUGGUUUAAUUCGAUGAUACGCGAGGAACCUUACCCGGGCUUAAAUUGCAGAUGAAUUACGGUGAAAGCCGUAAGCCGCAAGGCAUCUGUGAAGGUGCUGCAUGGUUGUCGUCAGCUCGUGCCGUGAGGUGUCGGCUUAAGUGCCAUAACGAGCGCAACCCUUGUUGUCAGUUACUAACAGGUUCCGCUGAGGACUCUGACAAGACUGCCAUCGUAAGAUGUGAGGAAGGUGGGGAUGACGUCAAAUCAGCACGGCCCUUACGUCCGGGGCUACACACGUGUUACAAUGGGGGGUACAGAGGGCCGCUACCACGCGAGUGGAUGCCAAUCCCCAAAACCUCUCUCAGUUCGGACUGGAGUCUGCAACCCGACUCCACGAAGCUGGAUUCGCUAGUAAUCGCGCAUCAGCCACGGCGCGGUGAAUACGUUCCCGGGCCUUGUACACACCGCCCGUCAAGCCAUGGGAGCCGGGGGUACCUGAAGUGCGUAACCGCGAGGAGCGCCCUAGGGUAAAACUGGUGACUGGGGCUAAGUCAUAAC